rnacentral:lncRNA from 1 species
CCUACAUGUAGUAUUCAAAAUCAAUUAUUAAUAACCAAUAAAAGACUCAACACAUUUUCAUUGCGUGUUCUUCUUUAAGACACCUAAACUCAUAUCUCAUAAUUUCUGAAUCCGCAAUCCCUAUUCAUUAAUUGAUUACAGUUUUUGAGUUGUUGGAAAGCCUAGCCCUCUCAGAUUCAGGGUUCAGAAAGAAUUACCAGGUCUGGUAAAAUUGUCUGACUAGCCCUUAGCCUCAGAAUGGUCAACUUCAUAGUAUAAGCAAAGAAAGUGGUGAUCUCAUAUAGUCAGCUUUUUCAUGAACAUUAAUUCAUGGUGAAUGCACUCACAGCAACCAAAAUCCAAAAAAAAAAAAUGUUCAUCUAAAACCUUAAACAUUAGCUUGGCUCAUUGAGUUCUUGGUACAACCUGCUUUUCAUAUGACACAGUAUCAAACAUGAUUUCAGAUGAAAUGGGUGGUGUUAAUAUUGUGUUAAAGAAAAAAAGAAUGGAAGACACUGUCUAGAAAAGCCCAACUUUGCAUUUGCCAUCAGAAAAUGAGAACUGUGGUGGGUGGGAGGACAAGGAGGCCAGGAGCCAAGUGCCUUUUCUUGCCUUGCCCAUAUUUGCUCUUAAACCAACAUCGUAAACAUAAUGGCUACCAGUGUGAAUACCAAACAAUGGAAAUUGCACAGAACUUGAUAUUAUCUCAGCCAAGAAGAUAGUUUGGAUCUGCAAGUGAUGCUGCACUCAAAAAUGUGGAUAUGCCCUCUGAAAGCGUUCCAGCCUUCUUUUCCCCUGUGUGUGUGUCGUGUGCAAACUCACACUCUUCCUUAAUGCUACGGCUCUGUGUUUGUCCCUCAGACAAGUUGGAUGGCUUGAGGACUGGUACUAAAAGGAAACGUGACUGGGAGGCCAUUGCCAGCAGAAUGGAGGAUUAUCUUCAGCUCCCCGAUGAUUAUGAUACUCGUGCUUCUGAGCCUGGGAAGAAGAGGGUCAGAUGGGCAGACCUGGAAGAGAAGAAGGAUGCAGAUAGGAAAAGGGCCAUAGGUUUUGUGGUCGGACAGACUGAUUGGGAGAAGAUCACAGAUGAAAGUGGUCACCUGGCUGAAAAAGCCCUCAAUCGAACCAAAUAUAUAUGAGACUUAGUUUUUGAACGGAGUCAUUAUUCCUCUAAGGUGGUUCGCUUUGAGGUGGUCUGAAGCCAAGGCCUCGCGGAGCUUCUUUGUGUGUCACCUUGCUUCCACGUUUCAGUUCUUGUUUUGUUUCUACUGCUUUAGUUUUUUUUAAAGUUCUCCAGUGUCCCCAAGAGGUAUUAGAAUCUUGCUGUACCCAAGCAAGACGUUAAUUUUUCUUUUAACUGUUUUGGGGAGGGAGGGAGUGAUAGCUUAACUGCUGAAGCCAGGCGGGGGUCUGCUGGAGGAUUCCAACAGAGAGUAUUUCCUCCACUGUACAAUGUCACAGACUAUCUCUAUCAUCAUUGCUUUGUGGCUGUUUCUGUUUUUUACUGUAUGUAACUGGUAGCUGAUUGUACUAGGAUUAAAAACAAUAAACUUUCAUGAUAAAGCCGAUGAGAUUCAUGGG